AGCAACGCUACGUCUCCAGCGGCUUGGCUCACGUGGGAGACGCGGGGGGUUCCCCAGCGCGGGGUGCCGGCCCCGGCUUCUCCCAUGAGUUGGCGGCGCCUCUGCAGCGCGGCGGUGGCGGCCAUGACGGGACCAAGACCGGUAGUUCUGAGUGGCCCAUCGGGUGCAGGAAAGAGCACUUUGUUAAAAAUGCUGCUUAAAGACUACGGCAAUGUCUUCGGCUUCAGUGUCUCUCAUACGACAAGGCAACCAAGAGUCGGAGAAGUGAAUGGCAAAGAGUACCACUUUGUGACCAGAGAACAAAUGCAGAAAGAAAUUGAUGCUGGCGAAUUCAUUGAGCAUGCGGAGUUCUCUGGAAACAUGUAUGGAACAAGUAAAGCUGCAGUGCAGGCCGUGCAGGCACGGAACCAGAUCUGCGUCCUGGAUAUCGACUUGCAGGGCGUCAAGAACAUUAAGAAAACUGACCUGAAGCCGAUCUACAUCUCUGUCCAGGCGCCGUCCAUAGAAGUCUUGGAAAAGAGACUGCGUGACAGACGGACGGAGUCCGAAGAGAGUCUACAGAAGCGGCUGAACGCAGCUCGCGUAGACAUGGAACUUAGUCCUUACGUGGCCCCCAUCAGGGUAGUGUCCGAGUGCCUCACAAUCUUUAAUGUAUUUAUCCUCUCAACACCCCUGUGAGGUAGGGAAGAGAUGCUAUCCCCAUGUGACAGAUGGGAGAACUGAGGCAUAGAGAGGUAAUGAACCAGGCCUUUUUGACCUGAUCAUCAUCAAUAAUGAUCUACAAAAAGCCUAUUCUGAACUGAAGGAGAUUCUUGCAGAGGAAAUCCAGAAGGUCCAAGAAUCCAAGAAGUCCUGAGUUCAGUCUGCUUAGCCGCCAUUCCUAACGUGCUUCACAGCAUUCUGUUCCAAGAGAGACAUUCCCUUUAGCCUGAUCCCUUUCCGAGUUACUAUGACAUUUAUAGUAAAAAAAAACAAAAAGCAAAAACAACUUUAUAUUUAUAUUAGCUGGGGCUUCUGCCACUUUGUGUGCACACACUAAAGCAUCCAGUGCUCUUCUAGGCUUGCAUGGAGAUUUCAGGCAGAUAAUCUGAAAGUCCCUGUACUGUAUUUCCUGAAUUAUUCUGAAUUCAUUUGUAUAGCCUGAUCAUACAUACAGCCCAUGCUGGCACAAUCAGUGCAUGUAGCGAGUGAAACUGUAAGCAGUAGUCUUCUCCAUAGCAUUUUUGGUGGAUGCUCCCUUCCCACCCCUGGGUUGCCUGCACCAGAUGCCACCUGCAGAGGGAAACUGCUUAGUAUGACCUGACUUGACUUUCCCCCUGCAGACAAAUGGGUUAAAGUGUACAGUGGCAUCAGCUGGCCUGAAGUGACCAACUGAGAGAAGAGAUGCAAUUGAAAAGGAAAGAGAUGGGCUGAAAACAAACUCAGAGAGAGGACGGUGCUAAUGCUGGUAAACACCCCCCCCCCCCCCCCCGCAAUGUUCCACUAAGCAUUGAAAGCUCCCGCUCUUUCCCUUUUGUCCUCCCGUUAGGCCAGUGGCUGGAGCCACUGCUCCUUUAGGUGGUUGACUGACAUUCUCAGCGAGUCUCUCUGCUUGAUCUCGAUGCUGCUGCUGGCUAGGGCUCCUUUCAGCAGGGCUUGGGUUGCUCCAAACCUCAGUCCUCGUGCCCAGGACCUAGUCAGGUGAACUGCUGGGGUUGCUUGAAAAAAUUGGAGACCCGCUUAAUCUACCAAGAAAUAAAAUCAUGUCCUGACUUCUUCUGGCUCAAAAGAGUUCCUAGGAGAGCAGUUGUUCAGCGCUUGCCUGCCCUGAAAGACUGUGGGGUGUGGUCAUAUAUGUUGUUCAGAAUAAAUGCAGCAGUGGAAAGGUUUGGGUGUUCCCAAAUUCAACUCUUUGGGGAAUUUCUUUCCAGGUUGUGCAGCACUUUUAUUCCUGGAAGAAAAGUAAAGUGCCCCCUUUUAAUGUCAGAAUGGUUUCUGAGACCUCUCUGCCUUUGAAACUUCAGGGUUUCCCUUCAAAUUGAACAUCCUAGAACCAGCUUAAUUCUGAAAGAGCCAAACCAUUUUACACCUUUUCUCCUUGAUGGUUUUCCAAAACGAAGAGUCGUGGUUGCACCUACCAUUCCCCAGAUUAUCCCCCUUCUCCGCUACUGCCUUCACCCAUACGGUGAAUGGUAGAACAGUAACGUUCUUUUAAUGUCCAUUUCCUCACAAAAAUUGCAUGUGAUCUGACAGCAAUCUUCAAAGCUGAAGCUUGGCUCAGCCUCAUUUCCGGGAGGUUGUUCAUUAAUUCCAAUGUUUUCCCUCUCAGGCUCAUCCCAACAUGGAUUGGGGUGGAAUUUUAAAUGGCACGUGGCACCAAAAUAAUUAGCAAUAUCAUCUGUGCUGGGCCCUAACAACUCAAACUGUUAAGAGGAACAAUGAGGACUGAAAUCCUGCUUUCCUGUCAUUGCCCUGAGCCUGCAGUCAGAAGAGCUCUGCGUCUUAACUGAGUGAUCUCUGUAUUCCAGAAGAACUGUGUGUGUCUUAGGAGGGGAAUUUCUCAGUUAUGAAAUAAUGCAGCAUGGAGGGUUCGGGAUAGUGGGGUGGUGGUAAAAACACACAAACCCUGACUACCCUAAUGCUCCUAUGAAUGGUGAAUUAAAGGUUUUGUUUUUUUACUUUUA